UACAGAGGUCUCAAGCGUUGUUCGGAUUCAUUGGGCGUAAAGGGUGCGUAGGCGGCGCGGUAAGUCGGGUGUGAAAUCUCGGAGCUUAACUCCGAAACUGCAUUCGAUACUGCCGUGCUUGAGGACUGGAGAGGAGACUGGAAUUUACGGUGUAGCGGUGAAAUGCGUAGAUAUCGUAAGGAAGACCAGUGGCGAAGGCGGGUCUCUUGGACAGUUCCCUGACGCUGAGGCACGAAGGUCAGGGGAGCAAACGGG
rnacentral:rRNA from 1 species